rnacentral:rRNA from 1 species
UCCUACGGGGGGCAGCAGUGAGGAAUAUUGGUCAAUGGGCGCGAGCCUGAACCAGCCAAGUCGCGUGAGGGAAGACGGUCCUAUGGAUUGUAAACCUCUUUUGUCGGGGAGCAAAAGACGCCACGUGUGGCGUUCCGAGAGUACCCGAAGAAAAAGCAUCGGCUAACUCCGUGCCAGCAGCCGCGGUAAUACGGAGGAUGCGAGCGUUAUCCGGAUUUAUUGGGUUUAAAGGGUGCGCAGGCGGAAGAUCAAGUCAGCGGUAAAAUUGAGAGGCUCAACCUCUCCGAGCCGUUGAAACUGGUUUU